rnacentral:rRNA from 2 species
UACGGAGGGUGCAAGCGUUAAUCGGAAUUACUGGGCGUAAAGCGCACGCAGGCGGUUUGUUAAGUCAGAUGUGAAAUCCCCGGGCUCAACCUGGGAACUGCAUCUGAUACUGGCAAGCUUGAGUCUCGUAGAGGGGGGUAGAAUUCCAGGUGUAGCGGUGAAAUGCGUAGAGAUCUGGAGGAAUACCGGUGGCGAAGGCGGCCCCCUGGACGAAGACUGACGCUCAGGUGCGAAAGCGUGGGGAGCAAACAGGAUUAGAAACCCCGGUAGUCC